GCAGACCACUCCUACGGGAGCAGCAGUGGGGAAUAUUGCACAAUGGGCGCAAGCCUGAUGCAGCCAUGCCGCGUGUAUGAAGAAGGCCUUCGGGUGUAAAGUACUUUCAGCAGUGAGGAAGGUGGGUAUGUUAAUAGCAUACUCAUUUGACGUUAGCUGCAGAAGAAGCACCGGCUAACUCCGUGCCAGCAGCCGCGGUAAUACGGAGGGUGCGAGCGUUAAUCGGAAUUACUGGGCGUAAAGCGCAUGCAGGUGGUUUGUUAAGUCAGAUGUGAAAGCCCGGGGCUCAACCUCGGAAUUGCAUUUGAAACUGGCAAACUAGAGUACUGUAGAGGGGGUAGAAUUUCAGGUGUAGCGGUGAAAUGCGUAGAGAUCUGAAGGAAUACCGGUGGCGAAGGCGGCCCCCUGGACAGAUACUGACACUCAGAUGCGAAAGCGUGGGGAGCAAACAGGAUUAGAUACCCUGGUAG
rnacentral:rRNA from 1 species